rnacentral:rRNA from 1 species
CAAUAGCGUAUAUUAAAGUUGUUGCAGUUAAAAAGCUCGUAGUUGGAUUUCUGGUGGGAUCGAUCGGUCUGGCGCUUAGCGCGAGUACUUGCAUCGUCUCCGGCCAUCCUUGGGGAGAGUCUGUCUGGCAUUAAGUUGUCGGGCAGAGGAUCCUCAUCGUUUACUGUGAAAAAAUUAGAGUGUUCAAAGCAGGCUUAUGCCGUUGAAUAUAUUAGCAUGGAAUAAUAAGAUAGGACUUUGGUACUAUUUUGUUGGUUUGCGCACCAAAGUAAUGAUUAAUAGGGACAGUUGGGGGUAUUCGUAUUCCGUUGUCAGAGGUGAAAUUCUUGGAUUUACGGAAGACGAACUACUGCGAAAGCAUUUACCAAGGAUGUUUUCAUUAA